rnacentral:lncRNA from 1 species
GAAAGUUUAAAAAAUGAGUUAGAAAAGUAGGCUCAUUAUCUUACAAGUGGUGGUGAUGAGUUGUCUGGGGUUUAACUAUGAUUGGAAGGGAUGUAGGAUACUUGCUCUGUGCUAGGCACUGUUCCAAGUGUUUCAUAUCUAUUCCUUUAUUUAAUCCUCACAACAAUCCUUUGAGGUAGUUACUGUUAUUAUCCCCACUUAACAGAUGGGGAAACUGAGGCAUCAUGAGGCUAAAUCACUUGCCUAAGGCAGUCCGUUCUCUAGCUAUCUGGCCCCAGAGUAGAUGCUCUGGUCACCACCCCAAGAUUAUAGCAAGACCUGAGGGCCAAGUCCCACUCCACCACACAAGGCUCAGCACAUGUGACUCUAAUGGGGCCCUUGAACUUGGGUUGGCAGAUGGACUUCCAGGGCCACAAGUACUUGGAUAGGAGAAAUAAAAGAACCAAAACCCUUCAUCGCGUUUGCUUUUAUUAUCCUUCAAAUGGAUAGCCUUAAAAUGCGGUCUGGAAUCUCUAUGGGUUCCCCAAGAUCUUUUUUAGGGGUUCAUAUGUUCAUAAUGAUAUAAAAUGUCUUUGUCUCUUUCAUUCUUCAAAGGCUCCCAGACCUGUGACGAGACCGUCCCUCCGAUGGCUUUUGGAAUGAAUGCAUGCCUGUGCUUAUUUUAUUUCUUUCACUAUUUUAGUUUUCUACAGAGUCAAUAGUAACAGACGUGACCCACAAUAUUAAAAAGUU